GCUGGCAGCUAGCUCUCUGCAACUCUCACAUGGUCACCAACAGAAGCUAAGCAGGGCUGCACCCGGUCAGUACCUUGAUGGGAGACCAGAUGGGAAAGCUAGGUUGCUGCCAGAU
rnacentral:rRNA from 1 species